rnacentral:lncRNA from 1 species
UUCCGUUUUUAAAAAUAUGGUACAGGUUAAAAGAUGAUACAAAUAUAAGGUACGAUUGCAAAUAGCCAAAUAAAAAUUCACCAGCCUUAAAAUGGGGUAUUAUCACUCAAAAUUGGGGUAUUAUUACCCGAGAAAUAUUUGGAAAGUGGUAUGAUCUAUAGCGCGUUCCACAAGAAUUUUUUAGGCGAAAUUCACAAUAUAAUCGUGAUCAUUUUUUGAAUCUUAAAGGAUGUAUAGUCACUUCCAUUUAAGGUUCCAAACAUAAUAGUUAAUAUAGUAAUCAAACUUAAGAAUCAAUCAAAUAUACAAUCAACUAACUACUGAACUUAAAGGAAUCUUCCUACUAACCAACAUUCAAACAAAAGACUGCGAAUACAACACGCAUGGAAAUUAAAGAAGAAAAUAAAGGGCAUUACAUUUUCAAACUGGCUCAUCAGAAAAGAAGGAUUCCGACCAACAAAGGUCAUUAUAGUAUAAACACUUAUUUAGAUUUUAUAAUCCAGCCAUUGCUACAUGCCACAAUAGAGGAGAAAAUGAAGAAAUUCGAAAAUUUUAGCCAUUCAACAACAAGUUGACCGGCACCAAAGGUCGUUGAAGGGGGUCACCAAUCGAUAGACCUCAUCACGAUCUAUCGAAUAGUACCAGUUUGGAAUUCAUACGUUCUCUAGUUAGAUCUGAAAUAAAAAGGGAUGAAGAGAUUAUGGUUUCAAUCUUUGUGGGUCUGAUUUGUGUUUCGGUUGAGUAUUGAAUGAGGUAAGUGAAAGAUCUGAUUAAAGGGGAGUAAGGUGAAGAAAAGGUGUAAUUUUGGGAUGAUUCAGAAUUUCCCUGCAACGACAGUAGACCGCCCCAUCGGUGAAGCGAUAGUGGAGGGCAGCAAAGAUGAUUUCCGGCUGCCCUAAAUUCCAAAAUGUUGCAAAGGGAAAAGGAAUUAGAUUUGGGAAUUCUCUAAAAUUUGGAUCUUGUUUAUAAAGGGCAAAUGAUGACCGAUGUAGCUUUGUAUAAUACUACGUCGUUUGAAGCGUAUAGCAGAAGGCUCAUAACCGGACAGGAUCAAAGUAAUAAGGCAGAGAUUGGGUUUGAGCGAUUUAGGCUCGGACGACCUAUUUGGCUGUCUGACCUCAAAAUCUUAUUUCUGACUUAAAUCAUA